rnacentral:tRNA from 1 species
UUCUGGUGGCUCAGAUGGUAAAGCAUCUGCCUGCAAUGCGGGAGACCCGGGUUCAAUUCCUGGAUCGGGAA